CCUACGGGGGGCUGCAGUGGGGGAUAUUGCACAAUGGGGGAAACCCUGAUGCAGCGACGCCGCGUGGGCGAAGAAGUAUUUCGGUAUGUAAAGCCCUAUCAGCAGGGAAGAAGAAAUGACGGUACCUGAGUAAGAAGCACCGGCUAAAUACGUGCCAGCAGCCGCGGUCAUACGUAUGGUGCAAGCGUUAUCCGGAUUUACUGGGUGGAAAGGGAGCGCAGGCGGCACGGCAAGCCUGAUGUGAAAGCCCGCGGCCCAACCGCGGGACUGCAUUGGGAACUACCGGGCUGGAGUGCCGGAGAGGUAGGCGGAAUUCCUAGUGUAGCGGUGAAAUGCGUAGAUAUUAGGAGGAACACCAGUGGCGAAGGCGGCCUACUGGACGGUGACUGACGCUGAGGCUCGAAAGCGUGGGGAGCAAACAGGAUUAGAUACCCCUGUAGUC
rnacentral:rRNA from 1 species